GAUGAAGAACGCAGCGAAAUGCGAUAAGUAAUGUGAAUUGCAGAAUUCAGUGAAUCAUCGAAUCUUUGAACGCACAUUGCGCCCGCCAGUAUUCUGGCGGGCAUGCCUGUUCGAGCGUCAUUUCAACCAUCAAGCCCCAGGCUUGUGUUGGGGACCUGCGGCUGCCGCAGGCCCUGAAAACCAGUGGCGGGCUCGCUGUCACACCGGGCGUAGUAGAUUUUAUCUCGCUCAGGGCGUGCUGCGGGUUCCGGCCGUUAAAAAGCCUUUUUUACCCAAGGUUGACCUCGGAUCAGGUAGGAAUACCCGCUGAACUUAAGCAUAUUAAUAAGCGGAGGA
rnacentral:misc_RNA from 1 species